AUGCUGUGUGAUGUAGCAAAAAAAAUUUUUACCUUAAAAAAAUUGAAAAUAACCCCAGUGAUGCAUGUGGAUCACAAUAAACUGUGGAAAAUUCUGAAAGAGAUGGGAAUACCAGACCACCUGACCUGCCUCUUGAGAAACCUAUAUGCAAGUCAGGAAGCAACAGUUAGAACUGGACAUGGAACAACAGGCUGGUUCCAAAUAAGAAAAGGAGUACGUCAAGGCUGUAUAUUGUCACCCUGCUUAUUUAACUUAUAUGCAGAGUACAUCAUGAGAAUCACUGGGCUGGAAGAAGCACAAGCUGGAAUCAAGAUUGCUGGAAGAAAUAUCAAUAACCUCAGAUAUGCAGAUGACACCACCCUUAUGGCAGAAAGUGAAGAGGAACUAAAAAGCUUCUUGAUGCAAGUGAAAGAGGAGAGUGAAAAAGUUGGCUUAAAGCUCAACAUUCAGGAAACAAAGAUCAUGGCAUCCGGUCCCAUCACUUCAUGGGAAAUAGAUGGGGAAAUAGUGGAAACAGUGCCUGAAUUUAUUUUUCUGGGCUCAAAAAUCACUGCAGAUGGUGAUUGCAGCCAUGAAAUUAAAGGACGCUUACUCCUUGGAAGGAAAGUUAUGACCAACCUAGAUAGCAUAUUGAAAAGCAGAGACAUUACUUUGCCAACAAAGGUCCAUCUAGUCAAGGCUAUGGUUUUUCCAGUGAACAUGUAUGGAUGUGAGAGUUGGACUGUGAAGAAAGCUGAGCGCCAAAAAAUUAACGCUUUUGAACUGUGGUGUUGGAGAAGACUCUUGAGAGUCCCUUGGACUGCAAGGAGAUCCAACCAAUCCAUCCUAAAAGAGAUCAGUCCUGGGUGUUCAUUGGAAGGACUGAUGUUGAAGCUGAAACUCCAGUACUUUGGCCACCUCAUGCAAAGAGCUGACUCAUUUGAAAAGACCCUGAUGCUGGGAAAGAUUGAGGGCAGGAGAAGGGGACGACAGAGGAUGAGAUGGUUGGAGGGCAACACUGACUUGGUGGACAUGGGUUUGGGUAAACUCUGGGCGUUGGUGGUGGACAGGGAGGCCUGGCGUGCUGCGGUUCACGGGGUCACAAAGAGUCUGACAUGA
rnacentral:lncRNA from 1 species